rnacentral:rRNA from 1 species
GAAUAUUGGACAAUGGGCGAAAGCCUGAUCCAGCCAUGCCGCGUGUGUGAAGAAGGUCUUCGGAUUGUAAAGCACUUUAAGUUGGGAGGAAGGGCUGUUACCUAAUACGUGACAGUUUUGACGUUACCAACAGAAUAAGCACCGGCUAACUUCGUGCCAGCAGCCGCGUUAAUACGAAGGGUGCACGCGUUAAUCGGAAUUACUGGGCGUAAAGCGCGCGUAGGCGGUUUGAUAAGUUGGAUGUGAAAGCCCCGGGCUCAACCUGGGAAUUGCAUCCAAAACUGUCUGACUAGAGUACGGUAGAGGGUGGUGGAAUUUCCUGUGUAGCGGUGAAAUGCGUAGAUAUAGGAAGGAACAUCAGUGGCGAAGGCGACCACCUGGACUGAUACUGACGCUGAGGUGCGAAAGCGUGGGGAGCAAACAG